UACGUAGGGGGCAAGCGUUGUCCGGAAUUAUUGGGCGUAAAGAGCGUGUAGGCGGUCCGGUAAGUCCGCUGUGAAAGUCCAGGGCUCAACCCUGGAAUGCCGGUGGAUACUGCCGGGCUAGAGUCCGGAAGAGGCGAGUGGAAUUCCUGGUGUAGCGGUGAAAUGCGCAGAUAUCAGGAGGAACACCGGUGGCGAAGGCGGGUCUCUGGGCCGUAACUGACGCUGAGGAGCGAAAGCAUGGGGAGCGAACAGG
rnacentral:rRNA from 1 species